GACCACCCUGGUUUCCGGUUGGAUAUUGGAGCUGUUUGGUGGUCAAACAAAAAAGAAGGUCUGUCUUAGCUAGUGCUGCGGGACCAGGAUGAAACCACUCAUAGCAUGCAAAUAUCCCUACGACUCUCCACUCUCAAGUGCUUCACAUUCACGGUUCACAGAGCAGUUUGACACACAGGCUCCAUCAAGCCCACAACUUCGUCAGAAAUGACCGUCUGCAUUGCCGGAUGAGGAAAGAGAGAAGAGCGCUGAAGUUACCUGUCCACCUAGACAUUAAGGGGCUGCUCUUAGGCCAUACUAGCUCCUCGGAUUGCAUCCACUCUGUGCAAGGGACCAGACCAAGUGCUAAGUGUGACUUAUCCCCAUAGUUCAAAAUCAAACAUUUGACAACUAACUCAACUGAGGAUGUUUGACCCAGCCUCCUUUUCAAAUAGUUAAAGGUCAGAGCUACAUGAGCGCCGCUGGCGCCACCUAGGGGGCUGCCGGCACACUGCACUGAUGGGAACGCACGGUGCAUCCUCCCUCACUCCUGCCACCUGCCUGGUGCCCAGGAGCUAGAUCAGCCUGAGACAUUUUGAAAGAAGAGCCUAUAGAGACCUGAGUCACAAAGCCUGAAUUCUAGUUUUGACAUCGGCACGAACUCAUGAGGGACGUUGGACAAGUUCUUCCCCUUCUCAAGUCUUCUGAGUGCCUGACAGGAACACAGACGAGCCACUGGUCAACCACUUCAAUCAUACAAACGAAAGUGACAUCCUAAAGAAUGGUGUAACCAGACCUCAAUCAGUUAAGUGUCUGCCUUCGGCUCGGGUCAUGAUCUCAGGUCCUAGGAUGGAGUCCUGCAUUGGGCUCCCUGCUCAGCAGGAAGUCUGCUUCUCCCUCUGCCAGCCCCCUGCCCCUGCUUGUUCUCUGUCUCUCAAAUAAAUAACAAUUUUUUUAAAAAAAAUCAAAAAC